rnacentral:lncRNA from 1 species
AAAGAUUUGAAGCAGACAUGUCGAGAGUCUUACUCUUCUAAAGUAGAGAAAUAUCGUUCAAGCUGCAUGUUGGUUUGAGGGUUCAAUUUGUAAACGUCGAAUUUUAUUAUCUGUCAGGUGACUACAAUCCUGUGUUAUCCUUGAAUAUUCAAGAGCAAUAAUGAACAUUCCAGAACUAUUGUCUACGUUAUUUUUCCAAGUGUCCCCCUCUUCAAACUUUCUCCAGAAACUUGUAGACCUCUCUUUCAUCAAAAGAACAGGUCAUCUCGUUUCUAUAUAAAUCCCCACUUUUUUCUAUACUUUAGAAGUGCAAGUUUUUCGACAUGUCUGCUUAAGUGUCAUUUAAAGUAAGGAUGAGGGCAUUUUGGUCUUUUAGCAUCACUUACCAAUUGAUGUAACGUGUCUUUUAAUUGUUCGCUUAUACUCCACGUGUAUAUUCCACAUCGCUCCAACUGUUUUCGAAGGGAGAAAUCCCUAUUUUCUUUCAGUCGGUCCAAUUUUAACAGGCUCUGUCAAAAGUCCAUGUUCUUGAUCUCAAGGGUGUUACUGGGAGUUCUAGAUACAGGUUUGCUCCGCUUUUAAUUUCUGCCUAUAUCUUCUUCUCUUUUCUUCAUUUUUUCCUUUCAGAUGCUUCUUUUUGGCCCUCUUCAUAUUUCUUAAAUUUUUAAUCCAACUGCUGGUGUGUUAAAUUUGAUGGUGAAACUCCAUUUAUAAGCCUCUAAUCUUGCUGAAUUUUGAUUAAUAACAGUGAGCAAACGAAAGAUCGCGCAUCUGAUAAAGAAAUAAUUCCUUCAUCUUCAUCGUUAAUUUUAUUGUUCUUUCUCUCCCCUUUUUUGCUCUUUCAACAAGUUACAGCCCACACACAAUUUUAUUUACUGAGAUUAAAGGCUUCUCGCUACACUGAUAUGGGUGUUAAGCCUAAUUAAGAAGACAAAUUUUGGGUAUAGCUUCACAGUGCGUAAAAAGUUCUUCGCUUCAUCUUCCUCUGUUUAUUUUCAGAUUUUUCUUCAUAGCACUUAGAUUCUCUUAAUACUUCCUUUAUGCAUUUAUUUUUUCUUUUAGUGAUUUUUCUUGGUUCUCUUCAUACCUCCUAAUUUUGCAAUGACAUUGCUGUUCUGAGAAGAAGGAUUUUAUCUUCCAGUGUUGCUUGAUUAUUUGUUCUAGAGUAAAUGGUAUAUAAAUUAAGCAAAUAAAUGCUUGAUUUUUCGGAGCAUUUGUUACUAUUUUUUUUAUUCUUUUCUUCUGUACAGUUAAUACAUUUUAUUACAAAAUUAAUAUAUCUGUUCGACAAAGCUCAUUCUGGAUUCUUUGAUCCUUCUUUUAUUCUUUAGAGUUCUUUUCUUUCUUAAAGGUAAAAUGGAACAAACCGGUAGAAGCAUACCGACAAGGUGGGAUCUAAGAGUUAGAACUUAUUAAGCAUUUCGCACAUACCAUAUCGCUAAUGACACAUUUCUAUUUCUAUUAUAUAGAAAAGCCAAAGAGGUCGACCAAGGGUAAAAGAGUAAUUUAAAUAUUUUUAUUAAAAUAAUUACUUUUAUCAUUGGUGUUUAUUUCUUGUUGUUUCCAGGUUUGGCUCUAGAAGCAUCCUUCUUCAAUCUUUCUCAUCCCCAAAAUCAAACGCAAGACUACUCUUAUUCCAAUAUCAAUUUCAUAUUCUCUCACUUCUCUUCAUCACCGCAUCUGGCAUUGUCGUUUCAGGUAUGCUUUUCUGUUAGUAAUUUUUUGCCCAAAUCUUCUUCUAAUUCUCUUAGAAUUUUCCAAAGUCAUGCCUAAUGUUGUUAUUUUCCUGCCUCUCUUUUCAAUGUUCUUCGGCAUUUCAUUCUCUUUCUGUUUCACUUUUCGCCUUUAAUCUGUUAUUUUUGCAUGAUUUUUAUUUUCUCUUCAGUCUUCCAAAGACUACCCUUUCAGAGUUUCAGUUCGUUUCGUCUACUCGGCUUGGGGAUAUAAUUAAUUUCAAGUAUGAUUUUCUUAUUUUUUGCCAAAAUUUCUUCCAUUUCUCUUAUGUCUUCCCUGUUUUAUUGCUGGAGUUAGUAAACCCAUUUUUAUUAAUUCAUAUUCUUGGAAGAUAAUAUGAAUUUUCAAGUUGGUAAUUAGUUGAAUUUGUCAUAAGCUAAAACAAUCUCUUGAUUUUAGCACAUUUCUGACACAGGAUCUAUGCAAGUUAUGUGUCAAGACAACAACUUAAAUUAAUUCGCAGACUUUUGAGUAUAAUUCUUCUGCUACUUGAAAUUAUCGUAGGGGUCUUUUUUUAUUUUAUUUUUUUAUUCAGGUUUAUUCUAUGUUUUGAAAAUUUAUGCAUUGCUACUGUGAAAAGAUUACCUACAAAAUGUCACCAUUGGAAUUUGAUUUUUUUUUUAUUUUUUUAUGAUGCCCCUCUUUUGGAACACCGAGCUUAGGCCUUUAGAUAUAUAGCAGAGUACACAUUAAAAAGGAGAUAGAAUGGAUGUCGAUGUCAAUUCGUUGUGUGUUUCUCUCUUUAUUAUUUGUCGAUCAAAUGGACUGCUGUGACAGAAUCAUAUUCCUGGGUAAUGUACUUUUGCAGAGUGUAUAAUAAAUUAAUAAAAGAUUAUUGUAUGUGCUUUGUCAUAUAGAGAUGAAAUGUUAUUGCAUUCAGUGUUUUCUGAACUACUAAGUUGUAUUGAUUAAAAUUAACUGUUUAUUAUACCUAGCUUUGUAACUUCCUAUCUGAACAUGUUACUGCAAACUCUUUUAUUCAUGAUUACAGAUAAAUUGUUGUCAAAAUAAAGUUAUUUUGUUGUCGUUAUUUUCAGGAACUUUGAAGUAUAGUUAGAGGCAUCGUCAACCUAAAAAGGUAAGUUUAUGCUAUUUUACUUGACGGGAAUCAAUGCAUAAACUAUGACUUUAUACAUAACUGAUAAAAAUUAUUAUUUUGUAUGUGUCAUUGGAAUGAAUGAAGUGUACUUUGUGUCAUUGUUAAGAAAUUUAUGCUCUUCGUAUUAGUAAUACCAUAAUAUAAUUUGUGUCGUUUAUGUUUGCUUUGUCGUGCAAGCUUUGAAUGAGACUAUACUUUUCAUUAUCUCUAUCUGGUGUUAGAUUUAAAUAAACAAUAAACAAAACUUCCUUGUGAAAAGUUUGUAAACCAUAAUAGCUCUUUGAGCUUAGCAUUAUUAAGGUCAAAGUAUAUAUGAAUUCUGGGAUGAAUUUAAGACAAUGUGAGACAUCUAUAUCGUCGUCUUUUUGAGCAUUCUAUUGUUAAUAAAUUCAUAGUUUAAGACAAGUGUAUUUCAUCGUCAUUUUGUUGUCAUAUUCUCUUCAAUGAGGUUAUAAAGUAUCAUUUCUUAUUUUCAAUAUAGUCUAUAGCACUACGUUUAAUCGUGAUUAUAUGAACAUUUGCCUAGGCUUCUAGCUCAUCUCAGUUGGUAACUAAUUUAAUUAGACAAUUUGUCAGAUACAUAAGAGCUUGAAGGUAUAAUGCAAUAAUAGAUACCAACUAUCGUUAAUCUACUUGAGUACAACUUCUUAUAAUUGAAAAUUGGAUAACCGCAUUAGAGAAACUACUGUCAUGUACUAAAUUUAGGGCAAACAACCCACUUUUUUCUUGGCCAUAUUGACAUAUUCCUCUGUCGCCUUUACAAGUAUACAAGGCAUCGCUAUUAGUAGCAGGCUCCGAUAGAAUUUGUUUCUAGACUAAGAAGUGAAAAUGAGAAGGGCCAGAUACUUUUAGCGCAGUUGGAAUAAGUUCACUUAACAAUUUUUAGUUUAGUAUUUUUAAUGGUAAACUGUCUUUUUUUUUCUUUUCUUUUUUUGCCUCUUUUCAGUUUACUGCACUUAAACUAAAUCUUAUCUUUUUCAUUUACCUUUUGUGAUUUUUAAGAACAUACUUAGUGCUUAAACUUUUUCAAAUUAGAGCCUUACUCCGUUUAAAGAAGUAUAAAUAAUACCCCCCUGAGAUAUCAUAUGAUGUCGGAAAUAUUUGUUGUACUACCUUAAUAGGAAUUUUGAUAUGCUCUUGGGUUACUUUAAUUAUGUUGGUUCACUUGGCAGUUUGAAACUUUAGAUUGUGAUUUCGAGUAUAUUAUUCGAACAGAAUAAAUGCAAGAGUUGCAUUUUGUUUUGCUGUAGAGUUUUUAAGGUAUCAGUAUAGUAUGUAAAAUACUGAAGGAAGAUCAUAAUUCAACCUUAUGUUUGUGAGAAUAAGUUUCUAUUUAGUUUAAAAUUUCACCAUCCAUUUGCUAUAUGAAUUCCCUUCUACCAAAAGAUCUUCAGUACAAAAACAAAACUUUUUUAUCUAUUCUCUUAAAUUAUACUCCCUCCUUUUCAAUUUAUGUGAACCCAUUUGACUGGGCACGCAGUUUAAGAAAAGAGAGAAAACUUUUGAACUUGUGGUGUAAAUGAAGCACAUAUAUUUUGUGUGGCUAUAAAUUAUUGCAUAAAGGUAAAUUGUUUCCAAAUAGGGAAAGAGGUCAUUCUUUUUGGCACGGACUAAAAAGGAAAUAGGUUCACAUAAAUUGAAACGGAGGGAGUAUAAAAGUAAUCUAGCUGAAGCAGAUAUGGUUUGCCUAAAAACCUCCAACGUGUAUUUAAAGUUGCAUAUGAUUUUGUUAGAAAUUACAGAUUAUUGUUUAGGGCACUCAAAGCGGAGGCGUGUUAUAGUGAAUAGUGAAUACUGAGAUAGUGUUGGGCCCGUGCUAAGCACGGGCUUGCAUCAUCUAGUUAGUAAUAUAUGAUGCAAGUGUUAGUCGGUUGAGAUACCUAAGGAUGAUACUGAUCAAGUUUGAAGCAGUAUCUGAGUUGAGACUGGACAAAGAGAUACGUAUUACCUGUGAAUGAAAUAGACAAUAUACAGAACUUGUAGGAAUUUUAUUGUGAAAUAUGUUUUCUUCCAACCACUUAUUUGGGCUUCUUUUUAGGAGCAAGACACAAGGCUAGUGAGAUGGCAAAGGGUGAUUGAUAGAUGUGGGAAAAAAGUAUGCAAACAGAAAAACAAUAUUUAUCUUUGAGGGGCAGAGUGGUGUUGAUUACAUGGUAUUUUGGAUGCAAUGCCUACUUAUGUGAUGUCACUCUUCCCAGUGCCUAUAAAGGUUGCAAAUAAGUUGGACGAAAUGAGAAGCAAUUUUUUAUGGCAAGGAAACAAAGAGAAGAAGCAAUAUAUCUAAUAAAGUGGGACAGUGUCAUAAUGGAUAAGAAGAUGAUAGGUUUAGAAAUAAAGAGAAAGGAUACAAUCGAGAGUUUAAUCGUGAAGUGGUUAUGAGAUAUCGUGUGGAAGAAGAAACAGGAUAAUUUAUUCUUAAAACAUCAUGGUGAAGAAAACUUCACUGUUAAAUCUUGUUACAAGGCCCUGAUGCUAAGAAAUACACAAGGAAGUGGCCAUAGAAAAAGAUUUUAAAAACAAGUAAUCCCUACAAGGUCUAACAUUUUCUAAAGUUUGCAUCCUAUGAGGUUUGUCAUUUGCAAAGGAAAAGAUACAAGAUGUGUAAGAGGUGUUGCUUAGUGAAAAGGGAAGUGAAGAAAAUAACAACAUAUUCCUUCAAUGUGAAGCGACCGUAGAAUUAUGGAACAUAUUACAGUUUGAAAUAGUCAAUGCCAAAAUCAAGAAAGAGUUCAUAGAAAAAGAAGGUAUGGACAACGAUCUUGGCUUGAAUUUAGUGGACCAUAUAGGGAGAGAAAAAUGUUAGGUGUUGCAAAAGCAAAGCAGAGUGGGUCAGUAUGAUUAUAUACAAGUGUCUAGCAUUGUUGUCCUUCUUGUGCAAAAACGAUUAUACUAAGGAUUCUAUUAAUAUGCUAGAUUUUAUUAGCAGACUUCAAAAUUAGAAAUGAAUGUCGUUACUUUUGUUUGUAAUAGCACAAUACCUAUUUAGUGUUGUUAUUUAAUAAAGUUAGUUUUACUCUUUAAACAUGAUUCUUUUAAUAUAUUGUUUGAUAUCUUUCUUUCUCUGUUUCAGUUGGUGCUCUUUUUUUCUAUUGACUAGUCCUUCCGGAACAGGCUUUCUUGGUUACUCAGAGGUACAAUUUCGCUUUCUUUAAAAUUUUAUCUGAGGAUAUUUCAGACUUUUGUUUCCUCAGACUUUUCACGAUACUUAAUGCAAAGUGGAUUUAACCCUGCAACUGAGUAGAUAUGUAUUGGCCAUUUUCUUGCUCUUUGUUCGUCGUCUUUUCCCGGCUUCUAUUUCAUCUUCCUCUGUUCAGAUUUUGCUGAUUUAUGCAUUUCAAUAAAAAAAUAUUGCAUGCCCAUAGAGCUAUGCUAAUGUUCUUGAUGCUUUGAAUCCAGAUCUGUUAGAGCGGACGGGUUUCUUUCAGUUUGUCUCUUCAGUGAGUGGCGACUGGCGACUGGGCUAUUCAAAGCUCAAAGUUGGUAUCUUUCGUUUAUGUAUUGUUGCUCGACUUUCCUCGGUUAACAUAUGAUGCUACCCUUAGCUAUUUAUGUUAUUGAAGUCGUAUGCUUAAGCUUUGGCUAAUUUAGGAGAUCUAAAUUAUCUCUAUUUUUUUAAUGAUUUCUUUGUACUAUGAUUUUAUUUUCUGUUCUUCAUUUUGGUCUUCUUAUUACCUUUUCUGUUGUUCUAUAUGGUUUCUGUAUUUUGGUCUUUUAAUUCUUUGGUCGUGAUUAUAUUUUGAUGUCGCAGUGAUAGUAAAUUCGUAAAUUCAUUGACUUUUAUGAUUUGUGUGUUGAGGAGGGAGCUCAAGCUGAAAGAUCUGGUCAACCCUUUCCUUCGAGCAGUUUGUUUGCGAAAUGAACGGUAUAAACUUUUCUUUUGUUCAAUCACGGUCACUAACUCUUUAAUAAAACAUUAGAAGUAAAAAUUGGGACUAAUUUGAUACUUGGUUUUUGGUUUUAUAGGUUCUUAUCUGUGUGAGUUUCUUUUUUUUUUUUGGGUAACCGGUCUAUGUAUGUUCGGGUUUGUAAUUUUAUUGACCAACUUUAAGCCUUCGAUCUUUUUCUCUAUUUGAGGUAGCAUGCGUUUUUCUGGGAUUGCUUGUAGAGCAUAGUGAAAAUGCAACUUAGUUCAAAUUGUAAUCCUUACACAUGAUUUCCUUGACUAUAAUAGUGAUUGUCAUUUCAUUAGUUGACUUCUUUUUACAAACUUCUCAUUAAGUAGUGGAUCUCCAGGCUCUACGACAGAUGCAUGAGCAGCGGAGGAAAUUCCCUCAGGGACAUAUGUAAACAAAAAAUCUUAGAUGUUAGAGAUUGUUAGUGCUAGAUAAUAAAGUAUUACUUGAGAACUUAGAAAUUGCUAUUUAGUUGUUUAAAUUACCAGAUUAGCGAAUGAAUUACUUUCAUUGAACAGCUUAUUCCCUAGAUAACAUGUUACGUGCACAAAAAUUAGAAUUUGUCAACCGAAAUUUUACUGGAAUAUAGAAAGCAACAUUACUUAUAUAGUCAUGUUAAGGACAUUUUCAAGUAUACAUAAUGUUAUGCAAGUGUUAAAUGGACUCUAUCAUAACAUGUGCAUCAGUAGAAGGGUAUUCUUUAUGCUCUGAUCCAUACUGAUUUAAACCUCUGAUCCAUACUUAUUUUGAUCGAAACAUCUGUGACAUCAAACUUAUCCAGUCAAUUUUGAUUACAUGGACAUAUGUUCACUAUCUAUGAAGCCUAUAUAAGUCAUAAUCUAGGUAGCAGGAUUUUUACAUAUUUAUCUUUUCAUUUUUCUAUUAUAAUCAAGCUAAAGAUUUCAACUGUCGAUGUCGCAAUGCCUACAGGUUUUCUUGGUUUGUUUCUGACUUAUUAAGAAGAAAAUAUUAAGUCUGGUUAAAGAAAAAACAAGAAAGAAAGAGCAUAAAUUAAGUAUUAACACUGAGAAAUUAAAGUAGAGUUGGGAGUCUGUGCUUGGUUUCCGUUAGAUUACUUUUGUGAUUGCAAGAGCUUUUUUAGGUCAGUAUCUUCAAUAGGUUGAUGUUUGCAAUAGAGGGGAUUUAAAUAUCGUGAAAAACACACAUGAUUUCCUAUUAGGUCAGUUUUUCGUCUACCCAAAUAUAUGAAUGUUAAAGAAAGGAACUUGCUAUUCUUGCAUAGAAGUUUACAAGUUUUAACGACUGAUUGCAUAAAAGACUUGUUAUGAGUGUUGUAUUGGCUCACUAUUGUGAGCACGUGAUUUUUA